rnacentral:sRNA from 2 species
CUGCAAUGGCGGUACGGGCCCGCUGGAAUUUCCGAAAUAAACCACUGUCCCUUUCCUCUUACAAACAUUCAAACUUCCCUCCCAUGUGUCCUUCCCUACGGAAUCGAAUACAGCAUCCACCCCCUCUCCGCCAGUCACAUCCAUCACCUUCUCCACCCAAUUUGCGCCCUCCGCACUCCUAUAAUCAAUAACCACGUCCGCCCCAAGACCCUUCACUAACUCCACCUUCGCCGGACCCCCAGCCGUCGCAAUUACUUUCGCACCAGUCAUCUUGACCAACUGCGUCAUCAGAAACCCCGCCCCACCCGCCGCAGCGUGGAUUAGAAUCCAAUCCCCCUGCUUAACCGGAUACGCUUCUCGGACGAAUGUGAGCGUCGUAAGCCCACUUAGGAAUCCCGCGACGGCAUCCUCAUCUGAUAAACCUGCAGGGACGCGCGCCACGUUUGCCUCAGCGGGGACGGCCGUGUACUCCGCAUAGCCGCCUGUAUUCAUCCAUGCCACACGCUCACCGACAGUGAAAUUUUUCGGGUUAGCGCCAGGGCCGACGGCAACGAUGGUGCCGGCUGCUUCACGGCCUAGAAUCUCCGGUUUGGGAGCUGUGUAAAGACCUGUGCGGAAAUAGGUGUCGAUGUAGUUCACGCCCGAGAGGUUGUUUUUUAUCAGCACCUCCCCUUCCUUUGGGGUGGGGACGGGAAGGUCUGUUCUGUACUCGAGGACCUCGGGCCCGCCGAGUUUGGAAACAAGGACGCCCUUCUGUGUUGCUGGUAUGGAUGGUGCUGCGGUAGCCAUGGUGCGGAGUUGAUUUUGGGAGAACAAUGGCAGCUGCUGGUGAGUUGGCGGAAAGCUGGGUUGGAAUUGUUGUUGAAGCAGGAGGCACACUGUGGCUCGAGAAUGGCGAGAUGUUUUCAACGGUGUCGUCAAUGCGGCGAGCUGUGCAAUUGUCGCUACUCUUCGCAUUUAGCUGGCUGUUCCUUCCGGGGACAACGCAAUAUACUUGAUUCAGCGUGAUGUUUAAUAACUACCACGCUGCUUCAGAGAACACUUCAUGUGGAGCUUCCUUCCCACUUAAGCUCAAUUGAUUGAACAAAACAUAUAUGUUAUUCAUUCUGAUAACCGCCAAGCGGUUGUAUGAAACAUACCUUCCGGUCUCAUUUAAUUCUGUCCUAUUUUCAAUUUGUUCUUUCGACCUUGCGGGGAAAUAUGACGGCAUUGAUAGAUGGAUAGCCGGCUUAGUCAUUGGCUAAACCGACUCGGUGCAGUGCUUCCUUACUAAGUAGCCAGAUAUGAUGGACCUUUUUUCACAAGCACUCCUAAGUGCAAAGUCGAUAUUUGCUACCGGAAAUGUGAGUCUUCGUGAUUCUAGAUAUGUUCAAAACUUGCUUUAAUCCCAAUAUUACCUGUAUUCUUCGCCGGGUUGGCAUCCCCUGGCCUGUGUUUCAGGAAAUGAGUCAAGUUGAAGAACUCGACCCCAGCUGAACAGUCCUGUGCUCUCACAGCCUGUUAUGUCUAGCUCCUUCUCCCUUCUGAGCAGACGGGGAACGUUUAGUGUGGAUAUACAUCAUGUCCAGCGGUCAUCUCCUGUUAUUGAUUUCUUUCUCAACUUGAUCGACUUGGCACCUCAAUAAUCAAAGCCUUCCAGAGAGCUUUCUGCCCUCUCACCUCUCCUAUCAUUUCACGAUUUCAGUGUUUGCACAACUCCCAGCUGUAUAGUUUGCCUGUCGCUAUUGAGAAGGAUAAACUUUUUUCAACAAUAUGCGGUACGGUCGGGGAAUGUACUCCAUAGUCUCUUCUCCCUCAAUUUUUCCCUCCAAUUUUGAUACUAUACUCUGCUGCACAAUCGAUAUAUACCAUUAAACCUGACCAAUCGUCUUACAUAAACCGGCUGGUUACAGUUGCUCGUUCUCUCUUUUUAUUUUCCCAAUGGAUUCCGAAAAAUUAUCGUUUGUGAGACAGAUAUCAAAACACCUUCCACCGGAAUCAAUGGGCUUGGUCCAGGGGCUCAUGAAUGCGAACAGUGCAUUCAACAUCUUCUGAUAGAGGUGAUAUGGAGCGAUUUGUAGUGAAGCAAAUACUGGUUCCAGUCGCUAGAGAAUCUGCCUCACUUCUCUCCUUCCUUCCAUUGUAUGGUACAUGUACGGUACAAUGCAAUGCAAUAGCCAGGUAUACGGCUUUUUUCUGAUCAACCACAUCCUCAUCUCUACUCCACUUUUCCUCCCCAAAGGGCCAGCCAGUCUCAUGCAAGGGUUGUCUUGCAGAUCAACGUUUUGAAAAUGUAGAGGGAUCGCAGUGGAUAUGGGAGGAGCUUGCUGGAGCGGGGACAUGAAGUUUAGUAUGCAUACCUGCAUAGAAGUUAGAACACUAUAAAUUCAAAUAAACAAGC